GAUCUCAAAUCAGGCAAGACUACCCGCUGAAUUUAAGCAUAUUAAUAAGCGGAGGAAAAGAAACUAACAAGGAUUCCCCUAGUAACGGCGAGUGAGGCGGGAAGAGCUCAUCUUUAAAAUCUGGGCGGCUAUGCUGCUCCGAAUUGUAGUGUGUAGAAGCGUUUUCGGCGACGGCUCUGGUUCAAGUUCCUUGGAAAGGGGCAUCAGAGAGGGUGACAAUCCCGUCUUUGACCAGCGCGUCUGAAGCCAUACGAUACGCUCUCUUAGAGUCGGGUUGUUUGGGAUUGCAGCCCAAAAUGGGUGGUAAAUUCCAUCUAAAGCUAAAUAUUGGCGAGAGACCGAUAGCGAACAAGUACCGUGAGGGAAAGAUGAAAAGAACUUUGAAAAGAGAGUGAAACAGUACGUGAAAUUGUUGAAAGGGAAACGC
rnacentral:rRNA from 1 species